rnacentral:SRP_RNA from 1 species
GCUAGGUGUAGUAGCAAGUGUCUGUAGUCUCAGCUACUUGGGAGGCUAAGGCAGGAGGAUCCCUUGAGUCCAGGAGUUCUGAGUUAUAGUAUGCUCAGUGAUUAAUUUUGCUAUCAAUAUGGUGACCUCCCAGGAGUAGGGAACCACCAGAUAGCCUAAGGAGGAAUAAACCAACCCAGGUUGGAAAUGGAGGAGGUCAAAACUAUGCUAAUCAGUACUGGCAUUACACCUGUAAACAGCCAAUGCACUCUAGCUUGGGCAACAUAACAAGACCCCAUCUCUU